AGUGAACGCUGGCGGUAGGCCUAACACAUGCAAGUCGAACGGCAGCACAGUAAGAGCUUGCUCUUACGGGUGGCGAGUGGCGGACGGGUGAGGAAUACAUCGGAAUCUACUUUUUCGUGGGGGAUAACGUAGGGAAACUUACGCUAAUACCGCAUACGACCUACGGGUGAAAGCAGGGGAUCUUCGGACCUUGCGCGAUUGAAUGAGCCGAUGUCGGAUUAGCUAGUUGGCGGGGUAAAGGCCCACCAAGGCGACGAUCCGUAGCUGGUCUGAGAGGAUGAUCAGCCACACUGGAACUGAGACACGGUCCAGACUCCUACGGGAGGCAGCAGUGGGGAAUAUUGGACAAUGGGCGUAAGCCUGAUCCAGCCAUACCGCGUGGGUGAAGAAGGCCUUCGGGUUGUAAAGCCCUUUUGCUGGGAAAGAAAAGCAGCAGGUUAAUACCCCGCUGUUCUGACGGUACCCAAAGAAUAAGCACCGGCUAACUUCGUG
rnacentral:rRNA from 1 species